AUUGAACGCUGGCGGCAGGCCUAACACAUGCAAGUCGAGCGGCAGCGGGAAAGUAGCUUGCUACUUUUGCCGGCGAGCGGCGGACGGGUGAGUAAUGCCUGGGAAAUUGCCCAGUCGAGGGGGAUAACAGUUGGAAACGACUGCUAAUACCGCAUACGCCCUACGGGGGAAAGCAGGGGACCUUCGGGCCUUGCGCGAUUGGAUAUGCCCAGGUGGGAUUAGCUAGUUGGUGAGGGAAUGGCUCACCAAGGCGACGAUCCCUAGCUGGUCUGGGAGGAUGAUCGGCCACGCUGGAACUGAGACACGGUCCAGACUCCUACGGGAGGCAGCAGUGGGGAAUAUUGCACAAUGGGGGAAACCCUGAUGCAGCCAUGCCGCGUGUGUGAAGAAGGCCUUCGGGUUGUAAAGCACUUUCAGCGAGGAGGAAAGGUUGAUGCCUAAUACGUAUCAACUGUGACGUUACUCGCAGAAGAAGCACCGGCUAACUCCGUGCCAGCCGCCGCCGUAAGAC
rnacentral:rRNA from 1 species